UACGAAGGGGGCUAGCGUUGCUCGGAAUUACUGGGCGUAAAGCGCACGUAGGCGGCUUUGUAAGUUAGAGGUGAAAGCCCAGGGCUCAACCCUGGAAUUGCCUUUAAGACUGCAUCGCUUGAACAUCGGAGAGGUAAGUGGAAUUCCGAGUGUAGAGGUGAAAUUCGUAGAUAUUCGGAAGAACACCAGUGGCGAAGGCGACUUACUGGACGAUUGUUGACGCUGAGGUGCGAAAGCGUGGGGAGCGAACAGG
rnacentral:rRNA from 1 species